CGGCCCCUACUUCGUAGUUAAAAGGCUUAAAGCCGUUUGAAACUAUGAAAGAGAUCCCUGCCUACGCGAGACUCUUCAAUCUUCACUUUUUCUCAUCGGACGACGUCGUUUUGAAGCCUCACUGCAUUGCUAGUUCACGAUCCUGAGAUUGGAGAAUCCCAACUCUCGGAAGACGACGAUAGUGAAGGAGAGGAUGAAGAUGAACUGAAUAAGAAAAAGGGAGGGGAUUCUCGGACUAACAAGUUAGUUACUUAUCCAAGCACGGAGCGUGUUCAAAUCCAUAUGCAGAAGUAGAGCAUACUUGCUACCAUUUUGAAGUGAAACAAGAGUUUCUCAAGGGUGCCUUGACGAGGGCUCUUUGAUUUAUCAUAUUUUCUCAGCUCUUUGUUUCACCCCUUGUGAAAAAUGAAGCCAUGGAGCGGGAGGUACAGGCUGUAGAUUCAGAGUUUAACUAGGUUCUGCAGAACGGUGCUUGCCACCUUGAACAACUUCAAUGCCAUACAGCCUCACCUGGUCACCCGUUUAAUAGAUUCGCAUGAGGUAAAACUUAAAUCUUGGGGUUUUACUUUUAUCUUUCCGUUUCCUUUUGCUCAAGUAAGAUCUUUAUUACAUAAUAAUGUAUGCAACU